rnacentral:rRNA from 1 species
GAAUGCUGACAUAAGUAACGAUAAAGCGGGUGAAAAGCCCGCUCGCCGGAAGACCAAGGGUUCCUGUCCAACGUUAAUCGGGGCAGGGUGAGUCGACCCCUAAGGCGAGGCCGAAAGGCGUAGUCGAUGGGAAACAGGUUAAUAUUCCUGUACUUGGUGUUACUGCGAAGGGGGGGACGGAGAAGGCUAUGUUAGCCGGGCGCGGUUGUCCCGGUUUAAGCAUGUAGGCUGGUUAUCCAGGCAAAUCCGGAUAAUCAAGGCUGAGGUGUGAUGACGAGGCACUACGGUGCUGAAGUAACAAAUGCCCUGCUUCCAGGAAAAGCCUCUAAGCAUCAGGUAACAUCAAAUCGUACCC